CCUACGGGAGGCAGCAGUGAGGAAUAUUGGUCAAUGGACGAGAGUCUGAACCAGCCAAGUAGCGUGAAGGAUGACUGCCCUAUGGGUUGUAAACUUCUUUUAUAUGGGAAUAAAAUGUUCCACGUGUGGGAUUUUGUAUGUACCAUAUGAAUAAGGAUCGGCUAACUCCGUGCCAGCAGCCGCGGUAAUACGGAGGAUCCGAGCGUUAUCCGGAUUUAUUGGGGUUAAAGGGUGCGUAGGUGGAUUGUUAAGUUAGUUGUGAAAGUUUGCGGCUCAACCGUAAAAUUGCAGUUGAUACUGGCAGUCUUGAGUACAGUAGAGGUGGGCGGAAUUCGUGGUGGAGCGGUGAAAUGCUUAGAGAUCACGCAGAACUCCGAUUGCGAAGGCAGUUCACUGGACUGCAACUGACACUGAGGCACGAAAGUGUGGGUAUCAAACAGGAUUAGAUACCCCGGUAGUC
rnacentral:rRNA from 1 species